rnacentral:rRNA from 1 species
CGUGAGCAACCUGCCCCUGACUCUGGGAUAAGCGCUGGAAACGGCGUCUAAUACUGGAUAUGUGACGUGACCGCAUGGUCUGCGUCUGGAAAGAAUUUCGGUUGGGGAUGGGCUCGCGGCCUAUCAGCUUGUUGGUGAGGUAAUGGCUCACCAAGGCGUCGACGGGUAGCCGGCCUGAGAGGGUGACCGGCCACACUGGGACUGAGACACGGCCCAGACUCCUACGGGAGGCAGCAGUGGGGAAUAUUGCACAAUGGGCGCAAGCCUGAUGCAGCAACGCCGCGUGAGGGACGACGGCCUUCGGGUUGUAAACCUCUUUUAGCAGGGAAGAAGCGAAAGUGACGGUUCCUGCAGAUAAAGCUCCGGUUAACUACGUGCCCGCUGCCGCGGUAACACGUAGGGCGCAAGCGUUAUCCGGAAUUAUUGGCGUAAAGAGCUCGUAGGCGGUUUGUCGCGUCUGCUGUGAAAUCCGGAGGCUCAACCUCCGGCCUGCAGUGGGUACGGGCAGACUAGAGUGCGGUAGGGGAGAUUGGAAUUCCUGGUGUAGCGGUGGAAUGCGCAGAUAUCAGGAGGAACACCGAUGGCGAAGGCAGAUCUCUGGGCCGUAACUGACGCUGAGGAGCGAAAGGGUGGGGAGCAAACAGGCUUAGAUACCCUGGUAGUCCACCCCGUAAACGUUGGGAACUAGUUGUGGGGUCCAUUCCACGGAUUCCGUGACGCAGCUAACGCAUUAAGUUCCCCGCCUGGGGAGUACGGCCGCAAGGCUAAAACUCAAAGGAAUUGACGGGGACCCGCACAAGCGGCGGAGCAUGCGGAUUAAUUCGAUGCAACGCGAAGAACCUUACCAAGGCUUGACAUAUACGAGAACGGGCCAGAAAUGGUCAACUCUUUGGACACUCGUAAACAGGUGGUGCAUGGUUGUCGUCAGCUCGUGUCGUGAGAUGUUGGGUUAAGUCCCGCAACGAGCGCAACCCUCGUUCUAUGUUGCCAGCACGUAAUGGUGGGAACUCAUGGGAUACUGCCGGGGUCAACUCGGAGGAAGGUGGGGAUGACGUCAAAUCAUCAUGCCCCUUAUGUCUUGGGCUUCACGCAUGCUACAAUGGCCGGUACAAAGGGCUGCAAUACCGCGAGGUGGAGCGAAUCCCAAAAAGCCGGUCCCAGUUCGGAUUGAGGUCUGCAACUCGACCUCAUGAAGUCGGAGUCGCUAGUAAUCGCAGAUCAGCAACGCUGCGGUGAAUACGUUCCCGGGUCUUGUACACACCGCCCGUCAAGUCAUGAAAGUCGGUAACACCUGAAGCCGGUGGCCUAACC